AAGAAGGCAGGAGAAGUUCCAGCAGAGAGAAGGGAGAGUUAAGAUGGAAGACGGCUGAAAGACACAGAAGGGACCUUUUUCCUUUUAUUGGAUUUUAAAAGAGGACUUUACCUAAUGGACUGAUGGAUUUUGGAUUUUCCAGAAGAUUGAUCCUCCAAGCGGUCAGAUGGAGGGACUCCAAGUCUGGGUGAAGAAUCGUGCCUGCAUCCCUCGAGAGCAAGUCCGGUACCAACGGAAGCCUGAGUACAUCCAUCGCCAUCUCUCUCAGGGCUGAGAACCACGGCUGACAUGGCCAAUACGGAGCUACAAGAAUAGCUGAGGAUCUGUGCUGAGUCAGCCUGACUAUUGACCGCUGGAUCAGAGGGAUCGGUGGGAAAAGGUGGACGAUGGACUCCAACGUGACCAUCCGGAACCAUUGAGGAUGAAGGUACUACGGCAGAUUGCUGAGAAGACCUGUUACUAGGUGCCCUGAAAGUCCGGUAAGCCUGAG